rnacentral:rRNA from 1 species
AAGUCUAUAACGACUCUCGGCAACGGAUAUCUCGGCUCUCGCAUCGAUGAAGAACGUAGCGAAAUGCGAUACUUGGUGUGAAUUGCAGAAUCCCGUGAACCAUCGAGUCUUUGAACGCAAGUUGCGCCCCAAGCCUUCUGGCUGAGGGCACGUCUGCCUGGGUGUCACA